rnacentral:rRNA from 1 species
CUCCUAGUUUCGCAACCCAGGAAUCUGCAAUUGGAUACGGGCAAACUAGAGUGCAGUAGGGGAGACUGGAAUUCCUGGUGUAGCGGUGGAAUGCGCAAAUAUCAGGAGGAACACCGAUGGCGAAGGCAGGUCUCUGGGCUGUAACUGACGCUGAGGACCGAAAGCAUGGGGAGCGAACAGGAUUAGAUACCCUGGUAGUCCAUGCCGUAAACGUUGGGCACUAGGUGUGGGGAACAUUCCACGUUUUCCGCGCCGCAGCUAACGCAUUAAGUGCCCCGCCUGGGGAGUACGGCCGCAAGGCUAAAACUCAAAGGAAUUGACGGGGGCCCACACAAGCGGCGGAGCAUGCGGAUUAAUUCGAUGCAACACGAAGAACCUUACCAAGGCUUGACAUGCUCUCGA